UACGAAGGGGGCUAGCGUUGCUCGGAAUCACUGGGCGUAAAGGGUGCGUAGGCGGGUCUUUAAGUCAGGGGUGAAAUCCUGGAGCUCAACUGCAGAACUGCCUUUGAUACUGAGGAUCUUGAGCUCGGGAGAGGUGAGUGGAACUGCGAGUGUAGAGGUGAAAUUCGUAGAUAUUCGCAAGAACACCAGUGGCGAAGGCGGCUCACUGGCCCGAUACUGACGCUGAGGCACGAAAGCGUGGGGAGCAAACAGG
rnacentral:rRNA from 1 species